rnacentral:rRNA from 1 species
UAGGGAAUCUUCGGCAAUGGACGAAAGUCUGACCGAGCAACGCCGCGUGAGUGAAGAAGGUUUUCGGAUCGUAAAACUCUGUUGUUAGAGAAGAACAAGGACGUUAGUAACUGAACGUCCCCUGACGGUAUCUAACCAGAAAGCCACGGCUAACUACGUGCCAGCAGCCGCGGUAAUACGUAGGUGGCAAGCGUUGUCCGGAUUUAUUGGGCGUAAAGCGAGCGCAGGCGGUUUCUUAAGUCUGAUGUGAAAGCCCCCGGCUCAACCGGGGAGGGGCAUUGGAAACUGGGAGACUUGAGUGCAGAAGGGGAGAGUGGAAUUCCAUGUGUAGCGGUGAAAUGCGUAGAUAUAUGGAGGAACACCAGUGGCGAAGGCGGCUCUCUGGUCUGUAACUGACGCUGAGGCUCGAAAGCGUGGGGAGCAAACAGG